rnacentral:rRNA from 1 species
UAUGAACGCUGGCGGCGUGCUUAACACAUGCAAGUCGAACGAAGCACUUUAUUUGAUUUCCUUCGGGACUGAUUAUUUUGUGACUGAGUGGCGGACGGGUGAGUAACGCGUGGGUAACCUGCCUUGUACAGGGGGAUAACAGUUGGAAACGGCUGCUAAUACCGCAUAAGCGCACAGCAUCGCAUGAUGCAGUGUGAAAAACUCCGGUGGUAUAAGAUGGACCCGCGUUGGAUUAGCUAGUUGGUGAGGUAACGGCCCACCAAGGCGACGAUCCAUAGCCGACCUGAGAGUGUGACCGGCCACAUUGGGACUGAGACACGGCCCAAACUCCUACGGGAGGCAGCAGUGGGGAAUAUUGCACAAUGGGCGAAAGCCUGAUGCAGCGACGCCGCGUGAGCGAAGAAGUAUUUCGGUAUGUAAAGCUCUAUCAGCAGGGAAGAUAAUGACGGUACCUGACUAAGAAGCACCGGCUAAAUACGUG